rnacentral:rRNA from 1 species
UGGGGAAUUUUGGACAAUGGGCGCAAGCCUGAUCCAGCCAUGCCGCGUGCGGGAAGAAGGCCUUCGGGUUGUAAACCGCUUUUGUCAGGGAAGAAAAGGUUCUGGCUAAUACCUGGGACUCAUGACGGUACCUGAAGAAUAAGCACCGGCUAACUACGUGCCAGCAGCCGCGGUAAUACGUAGGGUGCAAGCGUUAAUCGGAAUUACUGGGCGUAAAGCGUGCGCAGGCGGUUAUGCAAGACAGAGGUGAAAUCCCCGGGCUCAACCUGGGAACUGCCUUUGUGACUGCAUGGCUAGAGUACGGUAGAGGGGGAUGGAAUUCCGCGUGUAGCAGUGAAAUGCGUAGAUAUGGCGGAGGAACACCGAUGGCGAAGGCAAUCCCCUGGACCCUGUACUGACGCUCAUGCACGAAAGCGUGGGGAGCAAACAGGAUAGAUACCUGGUAGUCCACGCCUAAACGAUGUCAAC